AUAGCGUAUAUUAAAGUUGUUGCAGUUAAAAAGCUCGUAGUUGAAUUUCGGGGUCAGUAGGUCGGUCGUGCCACUGGUAUGAACUGGUUUUACUGAUUCCUCCCUCUUGAAGAACUGUAAUGCCAUUAAUUUGGUGUUGCAGGGAAUCAGGACUGUUACUUUGAAAAAAUUAGAGUGUUUAAAGCAGGCUUUAGCUUGAAUACAUUAGCAUGGAAUAAUGAAAUAGGACGUUUGAUCCUAUUUUGUUGGUUUCUAGGAUUGACGUAAUGAUUAAUAGGGAUAGUUGGGGGCAUUAGUAUUCAAUUGUCAGAGGUGAAAUUCUUGGAUUUAUUGAAGACUAACUACUGCGAAAGCAUUUGCCAAGGAUGUUUUCAUUAAUCAAGAACGAAAGUUAGGGGAUCGAAGACGAUCAGAUACCGUCGUAGUCUUAACCAUAAACUAUGCCGACUAGGGAUUGGAUGAUGUUAAUUUUUUAAUGACUCAUUCGGCGC
rnacentral:rRNA from 1 species